rnacentral:rRNA from 1 species
AUGGAACUGGUGCGGUUCGUCCUUUUUCAGACUCUUGGCGCACCCCGCACCUUAUGCCCUGAAAACCAACACGACGGGCUACUUGCAUCCCGUGGUCCCGGUGAGCUCACCCUUGACACUGAUUCAACCUUGUUGAUAUCAUAUGAGUUCCACUCAUUCAGUCUUGUUGAUGUCCAUAAUUUAUUGUAUUUUCUGUCAGAAUUUCGUUCUUCUUGCUAUGCAAAUUCCAGUGUUUAUCAGUAUGUCCUGUCCAAAUUUCAGUUUUUUAUUGUACAAAAAUUUAGUGUUGAUGUUCUAAGUUUUACUUUACUAGGAAAAUUGCCCUUGUGUUCCAAUGGGGAUACAUUGUGA